GGAAGAGCUCAAGCUUAAAAUCUCCACGCAAGUGGCGAAUUGUAGUCUAUUGAGGCUGUUGUCAGCAGAGCGACCUGAASKWAAASUCCCGYUGSAAGAGGGCAKYAWASASGGUGAUACUCCCGUCUUUGCCCAGGUUGUCUUUGUGUACGACACGCUUUCUUUGAGUCGAGUUGUUUGGGAAUGCAGCUCAAAGUAGGUGGUAAAUUCCAUCUAAAGCUAAAUAUUGGUGCGAGACCGAUAGCGAACAAGUACCGUGAGGGAAAGAUGAAAAGAACUUUGAAAAGAGAGUUAAAGAGUACCUGAAACUGUUGAAAGGGAACCGUAUCGUGUCCAGUGUGUAUCCUAUGCAUAUUUCAUUGGCGGUCGCAAGAUUGCUGGUGCCCUGUGUAUGGGUGUGACGUCAGAGUCAGUUGAGAUUGCGGGAGAUGGGUAGUGAGGAGGUGCGUCACUUCGGUGAAAGUUACAGCUCGCUGCCUAGUAGCCGUGGUCAAGACUGAGGUGCCUACAACAUGCUCUGGGGUCUGCUGCUGUCUCGUGUUGUUGAUUGCCUGGAUAGCUUGCUAUGCUGGUGAUGAAGGAUGCGAUUGGCGGUAGUAGUAACCUCUGCUGUUCGGGACUCUGGCGAAAUGGAGCGAUACGACCCGUCUUGAAACACGGACCAAGGAGUCUAACAUGUGUGCAAGUAUUAGGGUGUGGAAACCCCAAUGCGCAAUGAAAGUAAAGGGCACUUUUGUGUCUGAGGUAGGAAGGAGCUGUCAUGGCUCUGGCACUAUCGACCGAUCAUGAACCUCCGGGUGAAAGAUUUGAGUAUGAGCAUAUAUGUUGGUACCCGAAAGAUGGUGAACUAUGCCUGAAUAGGGUGAAGCCAAGGGGAAACUCUGGGUGGAAGCUCGUAGCGAUUCUGACGUGCAAAUCGAUCGUCAAAUUUGGGUAUAGGGGCG
rnacentral:rRNA from 1 species